rnacentral:rRNA from 1 species
CUGGCUCAGGACGAACGCGGGCGGCGUGCUUAACACAUGCAAGUCGAACGGUGAAGCCCUUCGGGGUGGAUCAGUGGCGAACGGGUGAGUAACACGUGAGCAACCUGCCUCUGACUCUGGGAUAACUUCCGGAAACGGGAGCUAAUACUGGAUAUGACCUUCUGCCGCAUGGUGGGGGGUGGAAAGUUUUUCGGUCAGGGAUGGGCUCGCGGCCUAUCAGCUUGUUGGUGGGGUGAUGGCCUACCAAGGCGACGACGGGUAGCCGGCCUGAGAGGGCGACCGGCCACACUGGGACUGAGACACGGCCCAGACUCCUACGGGAGGCAGCAGUGGGGAAUAUUGCGCAAUGGGCGGAAGCCUGACGCAGCGACGCCGCGUGGGGGAUGAAGGCCUUCGGGUUGUAAACCUCUUUCAGCGCCAAAGAAGCGCAAGUGACGGUAGGCGCAGAAGAAGCACCGGCUAACUACGUGCCAGCAGCCGCGGUAAUACGUAGGGUGCAAGCGUUGUCCGGAAUUAUUGGGCGUAAAGAGCUCGUAGGCGGUUUGUCACGUCUGCUGUGAAAACUCGGGGCUUAACUCCGGGCCGGCAGUGGGUACGGGCAGACUAGAGUGUGGUAGGGGAGACUGGAAUUCCUGGUGUAGCGGUGAAAUGCGCAGAUAUCAGGAGGAACACCGGUGGCGAAGGCGGGUCUCUGGGCCAUAACUGACGCUGAGGAGCGAAAGCGUGGGGAGCGAACAGGAUUAGAUACCCUGGUAGUCCACGCCGUAAACGUUGGGCGCUAGGUGUGGGGCUCUUUCCACGAGUUCCGUGCCGCAGCAAACGCAUUAAGCGCCCCGCCUGGGGAGUACGGCCGCAAGGCUAAAACUCAAAG